rnacentral:rRNA from 1 species
UACGUAGGGGGCAAGCGUUGUCCGGAAUCAUUGGGCGUAAAGCGCGCGUAGGCGGCCAGGUAGGUCCGCUGUGAAAACUCGAGGCUCAACCUCGAGAUGUCGGCGGAAACCCUCUGGCUAGAGUCCGGAAGAGGAGAGUGGAAUUCCCGGUGUAGCGGUGAAAUGCGCAGAUAUCGGGAAGAACACCCGUGGCGAAGGCGGCUCUCUGGGACGGUACUGACUCUGAGGCACGAAAGCGUGGGGAUCAAACAGG